UACGGGGGAGCAAGCGUUGUUCGGAUUUACUGGGCGUAAAGGGCGCGUAGGCGGCGCAACAAGUCACUUGUGAAAUCUCCGGGCUUAACCCGGAGCGGUCAAGUGAUACUGUCGUGCUAGAGUGCGGAAGGGCUACUGGAAUUCUCGGUGUAGCGGUGAAAUGCGUAGAUAUCAAGUGGAACACCAGUGGCGAAGGCGAGUCCCUGGACAACUCCUGACACUGAGGCACGAAAGCUAGGGAGCAAACAGG
rnacentral:rRNA from 1 species